rnacentral:pre_miRNA from 7 species
GGCAUAGCCUCAUACGAGACUGCUAUUGAAAGACCCCCGAAGGGAGACCCUCUCUCAGACACUUAAGUCCCGGGACAGCCGCGUACCCAAGAAGACACUGAGACCA